rnacentral:snRNA from 1 species
GGAUGUGAGGGUGAUCUAGCUGCAACGUCUGUCACCUUAUUGAUUGCCAGGGUUGAUUUGGCUGAUCUGGUUGGCUAGGCAGAUGCCCCUUUCCUCCCUCACCACUCCAUGUGCAUCCCUCCCAAGGCUGCAUGCUCGACUGAAGAGUACAACCAUCCCCGCUAGAGGAGGACCCUUCUUUGGUCAAGGGUAUAUGAAUAGCUGUGCUCCCCUGCUAGAACCUCCAAACAGUCUCUCAAGAUCAUAAAAUCUACUGAAUCUCUCUCAAAACAAAGCAACCAACCAUUUAUCUGCAGAGAUUCUAU